UUUUUCAUACUAAAUUUUCACAAUCCAGUGUGUAUUUUACACUCCACAGUACAUCUCCAUCUGGAUUAGCCUCAUUUCAAGUGCUUGACAGCCUCAUGCGGCCUGUGACUACAUACUGGCCAGCACAGCUUUAUGGACUCUAAAGAAAUAAGGAUCCCCUUGGCUUCAGCUUCAGAGAUUAAAAAUAGAGACCUCCCCACCAAACCCAGAGGCCUAUCAGCCCUCCAAACUACAAAGGAGAUUUCUAAUUUUAGCAUUAAGUAGAAGUAGUUACCUUAUUCACAGAGAACAAUAGAACUGGUCAUUUUUAUCACGUCUUUUCUCUUCAUAUCCUUGAAUUUCCUCUGGAUUAGGCCUAACAGGAACUUCUUGUAAAAGGGAAAUAAUAAUGCUUUGGACUUCUUAAGCCUCUUUUCCUCUGGGAGCUAAAAAAUUUUAAGAACAUCAGUUCACUUAAAAAAAAAAAAAAAAGAAAGAAAGAAACAAAAACCACAUUGGUUCACUAAUCGACAGUCUUGACACACUCUGCCAUUGUGACUCACUUAUAUUUAGGGAAAUUGAGCCUAAGAAUGGAAUGGCUAUCAAACAUGGAGGCAGAAGCUGAACCCAGGACCCAGAUUCUGAGUUUCAUGGGUCUCCUGAGCAUAAGUACCUCGUUUUUUAAGGUUUUUAGAUUUUUCUUUUGGUUGUACUUGUCAAAUCAUUCAUGCUUAAUUCCUUUUGUUAUCUUUCCUAUUUCACCUACUCUAUCCCAUUUCAAUAUUACCCCAGCCCUCAGUUGGCUGCAGGAAUCAAAUGUAAGAUGGUUAACACUAUGCCUUAUUUGGUAACGUUUCUGAAACGAAAUAAAUACACAAUUUGUAAAAGGUUUUGUUUCCUGACUUUUUUAAGGAUCAGAUGUUAUAAUUUUUGUAGAACAACUUUUGUAGCAAUAAAAGCCAAAUACUAACUAAUUACCAGAGAACUAGAGAAUGAGAUCAUCAAUAUUUAUGGAAUUUUUCUUCUGACUAAUUUCACUAUUUUGCAUAGGAAAUGUGCCUUUUCUUAGCAAGUAUUUUUUUUUUCUUAGCAAGUAUUUAGUGAGUGUAUUCAUUUUCCACAGUAAUUGCAUGAAGGUGUUACUAAUGAGAAUCAAGCAUUGACUUUCUGGAACUCAUUUGUAUGCUUAUAUACACAUUCGUUUUCCUGGCCUUAUUUUUUGAACUACUUAUUAUCCACAGCAGCACAAAAUAUUAUUUAACUAAUCUCCAGUACAUCAGUCUUCUGACUUUCAGAUUUCAUAAACUAACAAAAAUUACAUGUUUUAAUUGAAGGACUAGCAAAAUGUUUUCAAUUUCUUAUUUUGCCAAUUACAGUUAUAAAAAAGCAUUAAAACCUACCCCUUAUUUUACCACCAUCCUUUCAUGAAAGCAGUGGUUCUCGAACAUGAGCAUGCAUCAGAACGCCUGGAGGGCUGUUAGGACACAGAUGCUAAACCCUACCUGCAGAGCUGCUAAUUCAGCAGGACUGAAAUAGGGCCCAAGAAUUUGCUUUUUUUUUUUUUUUAAUUUAUGAUAGUCACACGGAGAGAGGGAGAGAGGCAGAGACACAG
rnacentral:lncRNA from 1 species